AUAUAUACCUGGUGCCGAGUUCCUGGUGAUCUUUCAGGUCGCGUCUCCGUGCCGAGGCUGACCAUUGCACUGCGAUUGGCUGAAUCGCGCCACUACCCGAAAGCGGGGCAUAUGGGGCAUGUAAUUUAUGGUAGUGGGGCUCGGCGUGUGCGCCAGCUCGUU